rnacentral:rRNA from 1 species
UACGAAGGGGGCUAGCGUUGCUCGGAAUCACUGGGCGUAAAGCGCACGUAGGCGGACUCUUAAGUCGGUGGUGAAAUCCUGGAGCUCAACUCCAGAACUGCCUUCGAUACUGAGAGUCUCGAGUCCGGGAGAGGUGAGUGGAACUGCGAGUGUAGAGGUGAAAUUCGUAGAUAUUCGCAAGAACACCAGUGGCGAAGGCGGCUCACUGGCCCGGUACUGACGCUGAGGUGGCGAAAAGCGUGGGGAG